rnacentral:rRNA from 1 species
CAGUCGCCGCGGUAAUACAGAGGGUGCAAGCGUUAAUCGGAUUUACUGGGCGUAAAGCGUGCGUAGGUGGCUGUUUAAGUCGGAUGUGAAAGCCCUGGGCUUAACCUGGGAACUGCAUUCGAUACUGGAUAGCUAGAGAUCGGUAGAGGGCAGCGGAAUUCCGGGUGUAGCGGUGAAAUGCGUAGAUAUCCGGAGGAACACCGAUGGCGAAGGCAACUGCCUGGGCCUGAUCUGACACUGAGGCACGAAAGCGUGGGUAGCAAACAGGAUUAGAUACCCCCGUAGUCCCUGUCUCUUAUAC